rnacentral:lncRNA from 1 species
CUGGUCCCCAGGCUGAGUCACACGGGACGCUCUGCCUCCCUCUGGGCCUCCGCCUGUCCUCCUGUCUGAAAAGGUGCAGCUCAACCCUUGAGCCCCGUGCUCAGGAGCACCCCAAGCCAGCGCUGCGGUGGCCGCGGGAAGCAAGUGCGAUUGACGCGAGGACGUGGCGCCAUCUGGUGUCUGAGUUGGGGAUCGCAGGAGCGAGGUUUCCUUUCAAUUCCCGCUUUGGAGAGAAGGCGGCCGGCCAUGCCCCUGAACGCAUUAGGAAAAAGCCGUUUAAAAGCCCUCUGUGUAUGUAAACGCUCCUGUCAUAUG